UGACCCUAGGUCAAGUAGGAUUACCUGUUAGGUUUAAGCAUAUGAAUAAGCAAAGGAAAAGAAACUUACUAGGAUUCUCCUAGUAACAACGAGCGAACCAAGAAAAGCCUAGCUUGAGAAUUAAGAACCUUUGGAGUCCAAAUUGUGUCCUGGUGAAGUGUCCUCAGUGAUGGACUAGGCCUAAGUCCUAUAGAAAGGGGUGUUCGAGUGCGUGAGAGUCCUAUUGUGGUUGGAUCUUAUCGCACCAUGGGACUCUAUCUAUGAAUCAGGUUGUUUGGGACUGCAGCCCUAAUCGGGUGGUAAAUUUCAUCCAAAGCUGAAUACAAGUGAGAGACCAAUAGCGAAGAAAUACUAAGAGGGAAAGAUGAAAAAGACUUUGAAAAGAGAGUCAAAGAGUGCUUGAAAUUACCGAAAGGGAAACGGAUGGGGGACGAUGAUGUGCCCUAGUUAGAUGUGGAAUGGUGAGAGCUAGUCCAUUGAUUAGCUUAAGGCAUGGACUAACAUGUGUCAUAGUGGCUACCCAACCCUGGGCUUUCAAUAUGCCUAUGGAGACAUUGUCGCUAUGAUCGUGGAAUGUAACAAAAAUUGUCUCAACAUGCCUCGACGCUUAUGUGCUCCUAGCAUUAACCUGUGAGCUCCCUAUCUAGCUUGUCUUGAAACGUAGACCACGGAGUGUGACAUGUGUGCAAGUUAAUGUGCUAGAUAUCCUAUAAUGUGCAAGGAAGCUGAUUGGUGGGAUCCCUCAUAGGUGCACCACUAACUGACCUUGAUCUUCUGAGAAAGGUUCGAGUGUGAGCUUAUCUGUUGAGGUGAACUAUGCCUGAGUGGGGCUAAGCCAAGGGAAUGCUAGUGGAAGCCCACAAUGAUAUUGAUGUGUAAAUCAUUCAUCUAACUUGGAUAUAAGGGUGAAAGACUAAUUGAACCAUCUAGUAGCUAGUUCUCUCUAAAGUUUCCUUUAGGAUAGAUGGAGCCUUUGGUGAGUUCUAUUGGGUAAAGCCAUGGUUAGAGGCACAAUGCCUCCAACCUAUUCUUAAACUUUAUAUAAGUAGGAUGAUGCAACUACUUCAUUGAAAUGCUCCAUGGAAUUAGGACCUCUAAAUGGGCCAUUUUUGGUAAGUAGAACUGGUGACAUAGGAUGAACUAAAGUUGGGUUAUGGUGCCUAAUUGUGUGCUAACCUAGAACCCUCAAAGGUGUUGGUCGAUUAAGACAAUAAGACGGUGAUCAUGGAAGUCAAAAUCCUCUAAGGAGUGUGUAACAACCCACCUGUAAAAUCAACUAGCCUAAAAAAUAAAUGGCACUUAAGCACGUGACCUAUACUAGAUCAUCGAGGCAAGGGCCAAGCCCCGAUGAGUAGGAGGGUAUGAUGGUUGCUGCAAAACUCAGUGUGCAAGUUUGUGCAAAGACACUAUCGAUGCAGAUCUUAGUGGUACUAGCAAAUAUUCAAAUGAGAACUUUGAAGGCUAAAGAAGGGAAAGGUUCCAUGUGAACAACACUUGCACAUAGGUCAGUUGAUCCUUAGAGAUGGGUCCAACAUGAGCUUUGAAAGAAAAUUGAGUUAAAAUUCCUAAAUUGGGACACAAUGGCUAACAACAACAUUAGGGAUUCCAAAGACAUUGAUGGGGGCCUUAGGAAGAGUUAUCUUUUCUAUUUAAUGACCUGCCCACCCUAGAAAUAACUCAAUUGGAGGUAGGUUCCAUUGGCCAAAAGAGUAAUGCAUGUCACAUUAUGUCCUAUUUGCCCUAGUAGCCCUUGAAAAUAUAGAGGAGUGAGUGCUAUUUAUGCCUAGUUGUACUCAUAAUUGCAUGGGUUUCCAAAUUGAACAAGCUAUAGUUGAUGGAAUAAUGUAGGUAAGAAAAGUUAGCAAAAUGGAUCUCUAUCCUUGGGAAAAGGAUUGGCUCUGAAGCUUUUGGCUACCAAUGCAUGUGGGUCCCACUCUUGAAGCUUUUGGCUACCAAUGCACUACUCAAGCUGCCCCUAUGGCGAGAGCAAUUCGAUACAUGUAGGCUGGGGGAUGGACUAGGAAUGGCUCUUUUAGGGGCCUUCCUUAUGUGAUAAUAGUCAACUCAAAACUAGUCUAGACUAAGGGAAUCUAACUGUUUAAUUAAAACAAAGCAUUAUGAUGGUCCCUAGGGAUACACACUCAAUGUGAUUUUUGCCCAGUGCUCUAAAUGUCAAAGUGAAGAAUUUCAACUAAUCAUGGGUAAAUGGUGGGAGUAAUAUGACUUUUUUAAGGUAGCCAAAUGCCUCGACAUCUAACUAGUAACACACAUGAAUGGAUUAACAAGAUUCCUAUUGUCUCUAUCAACUAUCCAGCAAAAGCACAACCAAGGGAAUAGGCUUAGUAGAACUAGUAAGCAAAAAGACCUAAUUAAGCUUGACUCUAGUCUAACUUUAUGAAAUGACUUGAGAGGUGUAGGAUAAGUGGGAGCCUUCUGAUGAAAUUGAAAUACCAUUUCUUUUAAUGUUAUUUUACUUAUUUCAUGAAUCAGAGGUGGGGCAUAACCUUUUCUUUUGGACAUAAGGCUAGCCUCGAUCGGUCAAUCUAGGUAGAAGACAUUACCAAGUGGGGAGUUUGCUAGGGCAGCACAUCUAUUAAAAGAUAACGUAGGUGUCCUAUGAUAAUCUCAAUGAGAACAAGAAUCUCAUGUAGAACAAAGGGGAAAAGGCUCAUUUCAUUUUGAUUUCCAAUACAAAUAUGAACCAUGAAAGCAUGGCCUAUCGAUCUUUUAGAUUUUCAAAAUUUGAAGCUAGAGCCAUUAGAAAAGUUACCAUAGGGAUAAUUAGCUUGUGGCAAUGAAGUAUUCAUUAGCAACAUUGCUUUUUGAUCUUUCGAUGUCAACUCUUCCCAUCAUUGUGAAGCAGAAUUCUCUAAGUGCUGGAUUGUUCACCCACCAAUAUGAAAUGUGAGCUAGGUUUAGACCAUUGUGAGAUAGGUUUGUUUUACCCUACUAAUAGCCCUGUUGCAAUAGUAAUUCAACCUAGAAUGAGAAGAACUGUUGAUUCAAACAAUUGGUCAUCGUGCUUGGUUGAAAAGCUAUGGGCAAGAAGCUAUCAUACGCUAAAUUAUGAUUGAAUGCCUCUAAGUCAAAAUCUAGGCUAGAAGUGAUGCAUGUGCCCAUCAUCCAAUUAUCGACCUACAGCAUGGAUGCAUGGCCAUCAAGGGCAUGUGUCAUAUGUGUAGCCCUUGCUAUAGACAAGUUACAAUUCCUCCUAA
rnacentral:rRNA from 1 species